rnacentral:rRNA from 1 species
GACGAACGCUGGCGGCGUGCCUAAUACAUGCAAGUUGAGCGCUGAAGGUUGGUACUUGUACCAACUGGAUGAGCAGCGAACGGGUGAGUAACACGUGGGGAAUCUGCCUUUGAGCGGGGGACAACAUUUGGAAACGAAUGCUAAUACCGCAUAAAAACUUUAAACACAAGUUUUAAGUUUGAAAGAUGCAAUUGCAUCACUCAAAGAUGAUCCCGCGUUGUAUUAGCUAGUUGGUGAGGUAAAGGCUCACCAAGGCGAUGAUACAUAGCCGACCUGAGAGGGUGAUCGGCAACAGUGGGACUGAGACACGGCCCAAACUCCUACGGGAGGCAGCAGUAGGGAAUCUUCGGCAAUGGACGAAAGUCUGACCGAGCAACGCCGCGUGAGUGAAGAAGGUUCUCGGAUCGUAAAACUCUGUUGGUAGAGAAGAACGUUGGUGAGAGUGGAAAGCUCAUCAAGUGACGGUAACUACCCAGAAAGGGACGGCUAACUACGUG